rnacentral:lncRNA from 1 species
GUUUUCCCUAAAUAAGCUACUUACACUUGAAUUCUUGCCUCAGAGUCUGCUUUGGGGGGAAACCCAAACUUAGAGAUCAUGAAUACUUUUUCCUUUCAAAGAGGCCUGUAUCUUCCUUGAAUUUGAGAAUAGCCGCAGUCUAACUGGAAUCUUUGUUAUCAUCUGAUUUUAGCUGAUCGUCUUUUACACGAUGCAAAGGAUGGGAUGGGGCUUCUUCCCCUCUCCACAGACCUGGGCAGGCUCUUGAAGUAUCCCUGGGCAUCAGGACUUUUGAAAGCUUCCCAGAGGAUUCUAAUGUCAGGAGUGUGAGAGAAGGGCUGUUACCCGGGAUCAGUUUGCCCUCUCUUCCUGGAAAACUAGUAAGUAGCUUACAGCCAAUCUGUCUUCAUUUGUUUGCUUGUGUUUUGUAAAGCUAGACUCCUGAAGACCUUUACUGAUGUUUGAAUAGAGUGCCAUGGAUGACAAUCAAUCCUGAAUUCAUUAACAUGUGGACUUCUCCUUUGUACCAUUUGAUAUUGCCAUCUUAAUGUGAUCGUUAAGAAAAAAACUUACUAUGUUGCCUCUCCCCAGAAGACAGU